UACAGAGGUCUCAAGCGUUGUUCGGAUUCAUUGGGCGUAAAGGGUGUGUAGGUGGCGCCGUAAGUCGGGUGUGAAAUUUCGGAGCUUAACUCCGAAACUGCAUUCGAUACCGCGGUGCUUGAGGACUGGAGAGGAGACUGGAAUUCAUGGUGUAGCGGUGAAAUGCGUAGAUAUCUGGAGGAACACCGGUGGCGAAGGCGGCAUCCUGGACCAACACUGACACUGAGGAGCGAAAGCCAGGGGAGCAAACGGG
rnacentral:rRNA from 1 species